CAGGCUGAACAUCAGAAAAAAAUUCCUCACUGUUAGAGCAGUACGACAACGGAACCGAUUACCGAGUGUUGGGCUCUCCAACACUGAAGGCCUUCAAGAGGCAGCUGGACAGUCACCUGUCAGCUAACUGCAACUGCAAAGGACUCGUGGUAAGAAGUGCUGCUGAUGGGAGACAUCCUUGCCUCAACAUACUGUCAGGAAGAUCAGAGAAUCCAGAGACUUCACCAUUUUAUCUUCCAGGCUUUUUUCCUCCAUGCGGAUCUUUCCGUAUCCUACCCGCAAGGUCCUGAAUUCACUUCUCAGCUCUUCCCUGAGCCCAUAGAAACCAGUUUCUUUGAUAAGCAGCUAUCAUAUUCCGUCUUUUCCCGUAAGUCACUUACAUGUACGCAGCUGUAACACAGCAAAGCUUUUCAUAGUUUGGACAGGAGGAAGUUUUAGGGGGCAAAUCAAAGUUG